CCCGCACAAGCGGAGGAACAUGUGGUUUAAUUCGAUGAUACGCGAGGAACCUUACCCGGGCUUGAAAUGCAUCUGACCGGCCUUGAAAGAGGUUUUCCCUUCGGGGCAGAUGUGUAGGUGCUGCAUGGUUGUCGUCAGCUCGUGCCGUGAGGUGUCGGCUUAAGUGCCAUAACGAGCGCAACCCUCAUCAUUAGUUACCAUCAGGUAAGGCUGGGGACUCUAAUGAGACUGCCAUCGUAAGAUGUGAGGAAGGUGGGGAUGACGUCAAAUCAGCACGGCCCUUACGUCCGGGGCGACACACGUGUUACAAUGGGUGGUACAAAGGGCAGCUACCUGGCGACAGGAUGCUAAUCUCCAAAACCACUCUCAGUUCGGAUCGGAGUCUGCAACUCGACUCCGUGAAGCUGGAUUCGCUAGUAAUCGCGCAUCAGCCACGGCGCGGUGAAUACGUUCCCGGGCCUU
rnacentral:rRNA from 1 species